rnacentral:rRNA from 1 species
UACGGAGGGAGCUAGCGUUAUUCGGAAUUACUGGGCGUAAAGCGCACGUAGGCGGCUUUGUAAGUUAGAGGUGAAAGCCUGGAGCUCAACUCCAGAACUGCCUUUAAGACUGCAUCGCUUGAAUCCAGGAGAGGUGAGUGGAAUUCCGAGUGUAGAGGUGAAAUUCGUAGAUAUUCGGAAGAACACCAGUGGCGAAGGCGGCUCACUGGACUGGUAUUGACGCUGAGGUGCGAAAGCGUGAGGAGCAAACAGG